rnacentral:rRNA from 1 species
UCUUAUGUAUGUUACCCUGAAAACACCCUUAUCUCACCCGAUUUUGGAAGCUAUGCAGGGUCAGAUUUGCUUAAUACUUGGAUGGUACAGAUCCGGAGAUUAAAAAAAAAAAGGC